GCUAGUAAUCGCGGAUCAGAAUGCCGCGGUGAAUACGUUCCCGGGUCUUGUACACACCGCCCGUCACACCAUGGGAGUCGGAAAUGCCCGAAGUCUGUGACCCAACCUUAGAGAGGGAGCAGCCGAAGGCAGGUCGGAUGACUGGGGUGAAGUCGUAACAAGGUAUC
rnacentral:rRNA from 1 species